rnacentral:rRNA from 1 species
UGAGGAAUAUUGGUCAAUGGCCGAAGGGCUGAACCAGCCAAGUCGCGUGAGGGAAGACGGCCCUACGGGUUGUAAACCUCUUUUGCCGGGGAGCAAAGGCGGUCACUGGUGACCGGAUGAGAGUACCCGGAGAAAAAGCAUCGGCUAACUCCGUCGCC